rnacentral:rRNA from 1 species
AUUGAACGCUGGCGGUAGGCCUAACACAUGCAAGUCGAACGCGAAAGUCCUUCGGGAUGAGUAGAGUGGCGGACGGGUGAGUAACGCGUAGGAAUCUAUCCUGUAGUGGGGGAUAACGUUUCGAAAGGAACGCUAAUACCGCAUACGCCCCAAGGGGGAAAGCGGGGGAUCUUCGGACCUCGUGCUAUAGGAGGAGCCUGCGUCGGAUUAGCUAGUUGGUGAGGUAAAGGCUCACCAAGGCGACGAUCCGUAGCUGGUCUGAGAGGAUGAUCAGCCACACCGGAACUGAGACACGGUCCGGACUCCUACGGGAGGCAGCAGUGGGGAAUAUUGCGCAAUGGGCGAAAGCCUGACGCAGCCAUACCGCGUGUGUGAAGAAGGCCUUCGGGUUGUAAAGCACUUUCAGUGGGGAGGAAAGGCUGGUGGCUAAUAUCCAUCGGCCGUGACGCUACCCACAGAAGAAGCCCCGGCUAACUUCGUGCCAGCCGCCGCCGUAA